rnacentral:lncRNA from 10 species
AUCAUCCGCAGUUGGUGAUCAACUCAAUCUCCAGCCCCUCGCCCCUGUCCAGAGCUCAUUGAAUCGGGAGCCUUAAGAACCCCCCACCCCCAGUUGCUCUUUCUCUUCCCUCUGGCAUGGUGGCUAGAUCCCUAGGUGAUGAAGUGGAAGGAGGCCUCCUGCUGAUCCACGAUGAACCUACUGUGGGAAAGAACCAGAAAGAACAGCUGCCGCUUAGAGCAGGUGGUAUCUCAAGCCUGUGUGUUACUGCAGCAAAACCUAUGGCCGCCUGGGUCCUGACCACCUGAGGGGUACAGUGUUCUCAGGGGCGCAUUUCUGCCUUCACGUCCCUGAGCCUGGGGAAGUCCUGCCCAAACUCGGUUCUCCUGGAGUCUCUUUCAUCUUUGAGGCAACCACUACCUUUCCGUCAACUCCCUCUUCUGCUUCAGUUAACCACAGACGUUUGGUCUCUUGUGGAUUGAUGAUGUCAGGAUGCUUCUGUCGGGCCGUGGGAUGGCUGAUGAGGCUGGAUUCCGAACAAGGAACAUCCUAGGGACACAGUGUCUGGAGAGGCAGUGAGGGAAGAGGAAAGAAAUGUCUGUGAAUAAUUGUACUGCAGCUUCUAAAACUCGGGACGGGAGUCAGAGAAAACAGCCCUGUGGCCUUCAGAGCCGCUUAAGUUGUCUGUGACUUGAGUUUUUCCACACAAUGACAAUGGUGCCUGCCUCUCCAUUUUCCCAGGAACGCUAAGCCAUCGAGCAAAGUGGUUUAGAAUGUGGGCGCAGGCAUCCGAGUGUCUGGCUUCAAAACUUCCCCAGCAAGUUACCGAAUGUGUAACCUUGGACGCGCUUUUUAUUUUCUCUAUACCUCAGCUCCUUAUCAAUAAAAUGAGGAUAGUAAUAUUAAUAGAAACCCUCUUCUGUGCAGAUGAGGUGAGGCAAUGCAUGUAAAGUUCUUAGCACUGGCCAGGGCUGGGCAAAGGCAGGGCUCACUAUGCAUUUAAGAGCUCAAAGCCCGGGUGAGCUGGCUCACGCCUGUAAUCCCAGC